UAGGGAAUCUUCCACAAUGGGCGCAGCCUGAUGGAGCAACGCCGCGUGAGUGAAGAAGGUCUUCGGAUACGUAAAACUCUGUUGUUAGAGAAGAACAUGCGAGAGAGUAACUGUUCUUGUAUUGACGGUAUCUAACCAGAAAGCCACGGCUAACUACGUGCCAG
rnacentral:rRNA from 1 species